rnacentral:rRNA from 1 species
GGGUGCAAGCGUUAUCCGGAUUCACUGGGUUUAAAGGGUGCGUAGGUGGGGUGGUAAGUCAGUGGUGAAAUCUCCGAGCUUAACUUGGAAACUGCCAUUGAUACUAUCAUUCUUGAAUAUUGUGGAGGUCAGCGGAAUAUGUCAUGUAGCGGUGAAAUGCUUAGAUAUGACAUAGAACACCAAUUGCGAAGGCAGCUGGCUACACAUAUAUUGACACUGAGGCACGAAAGCGUGGGGAUCAAACAGG